CUCAACAAUCUUUCAAGUUGAAGUUUACAAACGAUGAUAAAGAUGGCGAGACUAGUUUCUUGGUGAUUAUUUUAUUUUAUUUUCGUCCUUUUUAUAUCGUUUUUAAUUUAAUUUAAUCAGUCCAACAAAUUUUAUCAUUUUCAUCUGUUUUAAGUACCAUACGGUUACUCUCUUACAGUGUUACACUAGUUUCAACUCUGACUUUCUUGUGGUUAAAAACUAAUUAAGUAGUUAAAGUAGUUAAUCUCCUUCUUAAACAUCAAAUCUUCGAUUUUCUAAAAUCCAGAAAAUCCUCUGAAACUACUUUUUCACCCUUUUACAACAUUCACAAUCUAAGAGAUUUGGCAUUCAAAGCAAAAAUUAAACAUGUAAAAAAAUUAACUGUAACGAUGUAAAAACAAUUAGGAAACAAAACACGGACUGUAACUUCACACCAACAGAAAGUAAUCAAUCAAUGCAACUCAUUGAAUUCAAUAAAUAUUCUUAAAUUCAGCUUAAUUGCUCUAACUCUUUUUAUCUUUCAAAGUAAUGGUUUUUCCUAAUUUCUAACUUCUAUCAGUCAUUUGACACCAAGCCUCACCAACCUCACUGAGCUUUAUUUUCAAUUGUAAAUUCCCCUUAUCAGCAUUUUCAAUUUUCUAGCAAUUCUUAUCAACUGGAAACAUUUGCUUAAUUGCAAAUCUAUCUAAUAAUGUCUAAUAAUUUUUAUCUAAUAAUUUAACUACGUAAUUAUUGUACAAUCAAUAAAAUUUUAGCAAAAAAAUAACUUUGAAUUUCACUUUUAGUGAUUCUUUGAAGAAAUGACUUUCACUUUCAUUUCAAGAUCUCAUUUUUAGAGAUCAAGAGCAUGAUGAAAUGAAACAGUUUUCUGUAACCAGAUAAAUUAAAUUUUAUGAUAAGAGAGGUCACUAUCAGUUGCUUUAUUUUCAAAAUUGGUUUUUUAUCAACAGUUCAAAUCCAUUUUAAUCUAAUAUUUUGAUCUUUUUUAAUUUCAAACAAUUGUUACCAUCUGUUAUCUGUUACAAUUUGACAAUGGAAUCUUUUUGUUCAAAUACAAUCUUCAAUUCCCAUGUUUUUCCAGAUUGCUCUGUGGAUUUAUAUUUGAAUUAAACUGUUGCUUGGGCAAUCUCUUAACCGAUUCUUGUGAAUUAAUUAAAUAUGCAUAUUGUGUUUAAACAUGUGUUGAUUAAACAAUGAUGGCCAAUUACAUAGUUGGAUGGUAAAAAAUGUUUCCAGUUUUUUCUCUCUCUCUCUGUGAUUACGUGUUACGUGAAUUGAAAAAUGAAAAGGAUUUAUGGCCUUCUCUAUCCUUGGUUAUCAAUGGACGUGAUUAACAACAACAAGCAAACCCAUCAUUAACAUUCUUCAACAAUUAAAGUUUAACUCACCUAUCCAAUAAGCAUCUUUUUAAUGUUAACAGUUUUUAUUCAGCUUUGUGUAAACUCAAGAAAAAAUUAAAUUCUGUUAAGUUUCAACUGUUUUAUUACAAAACAAAACCAAACCAAGAUAUAAAUUUCCAUUGACAGUACUUAUUGCUACUCUUUAAGUGCAAAUAUUCAUUUUUUUCUUCUUUUCUUCUCUCACUCCUUGCUAUUUAAUUAUUUGCUCUUUGCAUUUGAUUAUCUGACAAUCAUUAUAAUCAUUUAUCAAUGUAAUCUUUACGCUUCUUGAAUGCUACCUUUUCAACCAUUUGUUGUCCAUAAAAUAUCUUGCAAUGUUAGCAUGUCUUUGUCAGUUAAGUAACAUUGUGAAAACAAAAUGUCAUUUCUUGAUUGUAACUCCAAUUAUCACCAAGUUGAUCACAGCCAUCUAGAACUACUGAAACAUGAGCGAUUCCCUGUUGAUUGAUGGUUCAUCUGUUAAUUUCAAUGCAAACUGAUUUGUAUCAGAACCAAUCUUGACAAAACUCUUAAAUUACAAUUAAAAGGAUGCAAAUUACUUGAAA